AAAAAAAGGGAAAUACAUUGCAAAUACAACAUUCUAAUAUCGGUGCAAUUCUAAUAUAUGGUGCAAUAAAAUGUUGUCUGGGAUGAUAUAUCUCUGUAUUUCAAAAUAUUCAUCCAGUUACACUUUAUUUGGAUAGUUCCAUAUACUGUAGAUUAUAUACAGAUGGUCAAACUAUCAACAAAGUGGCUGUUGAUAAGCAAAUACUUCCUACGGUUACGUUUAGGGAUAGGUUUAUAAUAAGGGUCAGGGUAAGAGUUAAGGUUAGGGUUAGUGGAUAGGUUUAUAAUAAGGGUCAGGGUAAGAGUUAAGGUUAGGGUUAGUGGAUAGGUUUAUAAUAAGGGUCAGGGUAAGAGUUAAGGUUAGGGUUAGUGGAUAGGUUUAUAAUAAGGGUCAGGGUAAGAGUUAAGGUUACGUUUAGGGAUAGGUUUAUAAUAAGGGUCAGGGUAAGAGUUAAGGUUACGUUUAGGGAUAGGUUUAUAAUAAGGGUCAGGGUAAGAGUUAAGGUUAGGGUUAGUGGAUAGGUUUAUAAUAAGGGUCAGGGUAAGAGUUAAGGUUAGGGUUAGUGGAUAGGUUUAUAAUAAGGGUCAGGGUAAGAGUUAAGGUUAGGGUUAGUGGAUAGGUUUAUAAUAAGGGUCAGGGUAAGAGUUAAGGUUAGGGUUAGUGGAUAGGUUUAUAAUAAGGGUCAGGGUAAGAGUUAAGGUUACGUUUAGGGAUAGGUUUAUAAUAAGGGUCAGGGUAAGAGUUAAGGUUACGUUUAGGGAUAGGUUUAUAAUAAGGGUCAGGGUAAGAGUUAAGGUUAGUGGAUAGGUUUAUAAUAAGGGUCAGGGUAAGAGUUAAGGUUAGGGUUAGUGGAUUGGUUUAUAAUAAGGGUCAGGGUAAGAGUUAAGGUUAGGGUUAGUGGAUAGGUUUAUAAUAAGGGUCAGGGUAAGAGUUAAGGUUAGGGUUAGUGGAUAGGUUUAUAAUAAGGGUCAGGGUAAGAGUUAAGGUUAGGGUUAGUGGAUAGGUUUAUAAUAAGGGUCAGGGUAAGAGUUAAGGUUAGGGUUAGUGGAUAGGUUUAUAAUAAGGGUCAGGGUAAGAGUUAAGGUUAGGGUUAGUGGAUAGGUUUAUAAUAAGGGUCAGGGUAAGAGUUAAGGUUAGGGUUAGUGGAUAGGUUUAUAAUAAGGGUCAGGGUAAGAGUUAAGGUUAGGGUUAGUGGAUAGGUUUAUAAUAAGGGUCAGGGUAAGAGUUAAGGUUAGGGUUAGUGGAUAGGUUUAUAAUAAGGGUCAGGGUAAGAGUUAAGGUUAGGGUUAGUGGAUAGGUUUAUAAUAAGGGUCAGGGUAAGAGUUAAGGUUAGGGUUAGUGGAUAGGUUUAUAAUAAGGGUCAGGGUAAGAGUUAAGGUUAGGGUUAGUGGAUAGGUUUAUAAUAAGGGUCAGGGUAAGAGUUAAGGUUAGGGUUAGUGGAUAGGUUUAUAAUAAGGGUCAGGGUAAGAGUUAAGGUUAGGGUUAGUGGAUAGGUUUAUAAUAAGGGUCAGGGUAAGAGUUAAGGUUACGUUUAGGGAUAGGUUUAUAAUAAGGGUCAGGGUAAGAGUUAAGGUUACGUUUAGGGAUAGGUUUAUAAUAAGGGUCAGGGUAAGAGUUAAGGUUAGUGGAUAGGUUUAUAAUAAGGGUCAGGGUAAGAGUUAAGGUUAGGGUUAGUGGAUAGGUUUAUAAUAAGGGUCAGGGUAAGAGUUAAGGUUACGUUUAGGGAUAGGUUUAUAAUAAGGGUCAGGGUAAGAGUUAAGGUUACGUUUAGGGAUAGGUUUAUAAUAAGGGUCAGGGUAAGAGUUAAGGUUAGGGUUAGUGGAUAGUAAGUUGAAAUGUUGUUGACAGUUAUUGAACAUCGACAAAUCAUAUACAGUACAAACCAUCUACUUGUGACUAUCCAAAUAAAGUACCAUUCUUCCUGUAAUUGAGGGCAAAAUGUGCGUUUAAAAAUAAAUGUGCAUAAAGAGCACCCUUUUGCAUGAGUAGUCUCCAACUCAAUAGAUAGUACUAUUUCCCAGCCGUGUCAUAACGCCGCCACAAUCAGUGCAAAAGCCAUGCGUUAACAGGUUUUAUUGCAAUUCAGUAAAAGUUUUCCAUCUAUUUAAUCACGUUGAACCAAUUAGUGAAACCAAUAAUUGACCAAUGUCAGUCAAAUGAAGUGUAAAGUGUAUCGGUAUUUCAUACUCGUUUCAUGUCAUUUGUGAAAUUACCACGGAAUUGAUACAGUGCUUUCAGAAAGUAUUCACACCCCUUGACUUUUUCCACAUUUUGUCCUCUUACAGCCUGAAUUGAAAUUGGAUUACAUUGAGAUUUUGAUUCAUUGAUCUACAUACAAUACCCAUCAUGUCAAAGUGGAAUUUAGUUUUUAGAAUUUAGUUUUUUUUUUUUUACAAAUUAAUAACUUAUUUAAAGCUGAAAUGUCUUGAGUGAAUAUUCAACCUCUGUUAUGGCAAGCCUAAUAAAGAAAUUGCUGCAUUUUGAAUUUAUAUUUCUGUUCAGUGUAGUUACUCCACAAUACUAACUUAAAUGACAAAGCAAAAAGUAGGAAGCCUGUGCAGAAUUAAAAAUAAUCCAAACAUACAUCCUGUUUCCAAUAAGGCACUAAAGUAAUACUGCUAAAAAUGUGGUAAAGAAAUGUACUUUUGUUCUGAAUACAAAGCAUUAUGUUUGGGGCAAAUCCAAAAUAACACAUCACUGGGUACCACUCUUCAUAUUUUCAAGCAUGGUGGUGGCUGCAUCAUUUUAUGGGUAUGCUUGUCAUCGGCAAGGACUAGGGAGUUAUUUAGGAUAAAAAUUUAUGGAAUAGAGCUAAACAGACAAAAUCCUAGAAGAAACCUGUUUCAGUCUGCUUUCCACCAGACACUGGGAGACAAAUUCACCUUUCAGCAGGACAAUAACCUAAAACACACGGCCAAAACACUGGAGUUGCUUGCCAAGAUGACAUGUAAUUUUUUCUGAGUGGCCUGAUUACAGUUUUGACUUAAAUUGGCUUGAAAAUCUAUGGCAAGACUUGAAAACAGAAGUCUAGCAAUGAUCAACAAUCAACUUGGCAGAGCUUGAAGAAUUUUACAAUCCAGGUGUGCAAAGCUCUUAGAGACUUACCCAGAAAGACUCACAGCUGUCAUUGCUUCCAAAGGUUAUUCUAAUACGUAUUGAAUCAGGGGGGUUGAACUAGUGUUUCGUUUUUGCGUAUAUAUUUUUUGGAUCACAUUUUUCUUCCACCUUGAGUAUUGGUUGUGGAUCGUUGACUAAAUUGACAAUUAAAUACAUUUUUUCCCCACUUUGCAACAUAA